AACCCAUAUUGAUCCAAAUUAUAUUUUCCAGGCCAUAUACUAGAGGAGCUGUGAGUCAAAAACUGGUUAAAUUUUGGCUUCAGGAAAAACAAGGUCCAACCAGGAUAUUCCAACAGGAUUGGAGAGCAGCGGGCUGCACACAACAGGUUGCACUACAGUGUUUGGUGCUGUGUCAGGAACAGGAGAGAAAGAGCCUCCUGGAGAUUCUACACACACUUUCCCUGGAUGAGCUGCAGGGCCAGAGCCACACACUGCCACCAGCUUACAAGGCCCCAGAAAGAUCUGCUGUGUCUCUGAGGCAGAGCUGUGUGUUAAGCCUGAGAGAGAUAAACGAAUCACUGCAGGGAGCGUCCUGGCCAGACUGUGCCAUUCACCUACUCACCCAGCUCUCACUGGCACAUGAAGAAGAAACCUGGACCAUACUGCGCUCUCUUCCAGCCAUGGAUGCCAGUGGUGUUGCAGCUCUGCUGCACAGAUAUGAGAGUGAGCUUCAUUUCCCUAAGAUGAACAACCUGUAUGAGCUCCUACAGCCAGACACCUCCAGAGACAGAGCCACAGCAUAUAACUUCACUUUACCAGAUGGUGAGAGGACUGAGCAGAGACAGCGCAAUCCAUCAGAGAGCGAGAAUCAGGCCCACUGCAGUGGCUGUGGCGUUGUUCUCGUCCCCGAAGAUGCUCCAUAUCUAGAGAUCCUGGGCACCAGAAAACACAGAAAUGAGGAGAGCACAGAAAGGAGGGCAGGAGAAGAGGAAGAAUGCCGAGUAGAAACAGAGAGAGAGACAGAGGGAGCAGUGCAGAUGAGAGAGUUAGGAAAGGAAGAAGAAAGAGAUGGACAAGAGAAGAAGAAGAGAGAGGAAGCAGUUGAGAGGAGAGAUGAGAAAAGAAAAGAGAAGACUGAAGGAGGAGAAGAAGAGAGAAAGGUGGAGAUGUUUAUAGAAAAGCAGGGCUCACUGAUCACACUGGCCUGGAGCAAACCAACUGAUGCUGUGAGCAAAGAGCAGGAAAUGAGUGCUGCUCUACCAGAAGAAGAACCAGCAGAGAUAUCUACAGAUUCACACACUCAAAUCAGCACACAGCAGCCCCAUGGAGACUCCAUAAAUACCCCUAAUGAAGAGCAGAGCCACACACAUCCUGAGAACAGAACAAGCACAGAACAUGAACAAGCACUUACUGAACAUCCUGAAGACACACUGACUGCAGAGGAGCACACACACAUACAGGCUCCACUGGACCAGUCCCACUCCAGCAUGGACACUGAGUGUCAGAACAGUGAAGCAGAUGAACACACCACACACCCAACUGAGAGCACAGAGGACACAGUGGAGCCACAGGCCACUGCCCCAAAAACACACACAUCUGAGGCAGUAGGAAUGGAGGCAAUGGGUAAGGAGCAGGAGUCUGAGCUGGUGUGUGGAGGUCAAGAAGUGUGUGAGGAAAAGCUGGAAGAGGUGCGUGUGGAUGUGUGUGAGGAGCAGCAGCUCCAGCGUGAGGCUACCAUGCGCAGCCUCGUCCACAUCCAGAGGAGAGCAGAGAGACGGUGGCAGAGAGACAGAGACAGACAACUCCUCAGAGUGAGAACAAAUCCAGCUAAUACACACAAAAAUACAGUACAUUCAUUCACUCACACACACACAAAUACAUUUUAU
ensembl:lncRNA